CAGCAGCCGCGGUAAUACGUAGGGUGCGAGCGUUAAUCGGAAUUACUGGGCGUAAAGCGUGCGCAGGCGGUUCGUUAAGACAGAUGUGAAAUCCCCGGGCUUAACCUGGGAACUGCAUUUGUGACUGGCGAGCUAGAGUAUGGCAGAGGGGGGUAGAAUUCCACGUGUAGCAGUGAAAUGCGUAGAGAUGUGGAGGAGUACCGAUGGCGAAGGCAGCCCCCUGGGCCAAUACUGACGCUCAUGCACGAAAGCGUGGGGAGCAAACAGGAUUAGAUACCCCAGUAGUCCCUGUCUCUUAUAC
rnacentral:rRNA from 1 species